rnacentral:rRNA from 1 species
UGCGCAGGCGGGCUUGUAAGUCAGUGGUGAAAUUUUGCGGCUUAACCGUAAAACUGCCAUUGAUACUGCAAGUCUUGAAUAUGGUUGAGGUAGGCGGAAUGUGUUGCGUAGCGGUGAAAUGCAUAGAUAUGACACAGAACGCCGAUUGCGAAGGCAGCUUACUAAGCCAUGAUUGACGCUGAGGCACGAAAGCGUGGGGAGCGAACAGGAUUAGAUACCCUGGUAGUCC